UCGUUCUGGGUCAUCGACGGCUUCCUGCGCCCCCCCCCCUGCAAUGACACGGCGCCCCCCUUAGGGGGCGCGCCCUACGGUUUGGGAACCUCUGGUUUAGAGCAUCUGGAAAAUGGUUUGUGGUGCUAACAGUGAAGUUUCCUGAGGUUAUCUAUCGGUUGCUUCCAAGGAAAACCUCUGAGGAAGACCUCUUCCUCCCAACAACACCGCCUUGAUUACAGAGCCAAACAUCCUCCUCACAGCGCCUUUGGGUUUUCUGCCUGACUCAGAGCCGCGACACGAGGAGAAAUCCAAACACAUCUUAACUCCACACUGAAAGACGUUUUGAAACAAGCUCGGUCAGGGCAGUUUUAUUUUUCUUGCAUAUUGUGAAAUAAUUAUUUGGUCUAAAUUGCAGCAUUAAGUUAAAACUCCCAAUUCAAGAUUAAUGAAGUUAAAUGAUGUUUAGACAUCUUGUCUCUUGUUGUUAAAUCGACUUCAUGAACUUUAAUUUCUGAGUUUAAACCAAACCAAUUUCCUUGUUGAUUAAAUUGCAGCAGGUGGACUUUUAUUUUCAAGUUAAGUCACCUUCAAAUGUUUUACAGUGCACCCAGAAAACUGCAAUUAGACUUUUCAGUAAAUCUACUAAAUUUACUCGUACCACCUCGAUCUUAUGCUCUCUACACCAACUUCAUAUGGAUUUCAGAGUCUUUAUUUAUAGUUCUUGUUCUCGUCUACAGAGCUACGAAUGGCCUGGUUCCAUUAUUUAUGUCAGUUUUUCACCAAACGCUCUGCUGCCACACGUUCUUCCAGGUACUCUGUUAAAGGGGAAGUAUUAUCUAAAAUCAACUUUUUUUAAGCUUUACAUCAUGUUGUAAUGUUUUCCCCUCA